AAAUAAACAGAACAAUUGGAGUGCCAAUAUAGGAUAAAAGAAUCUUUGGGUAGGAGGGCAACUGUGUAACAGUAAGAAUGUAAAAGCAUAAGAAAACUCAGCCAAUCUAUUCUACUUAGAAUUACUGUUGUUUCUCUGAUCCUCUUCUCUUUGGCAGGAUCCCCAUGAAGUGCCAGCAAUUCAGGACAGAGUUAUGACACAAAUCAAGGUGUUGGUUGAAGCUUUGUUCCAGGUGCCACUGCCAGGUGAGAAUUUCCAUGUGAGAGUCUGUGGUGCUUUCUCUAGCUCCUUGCUGCACUGUUCUUGUCCUCACGGCAAACAUAAAAUCCAGUCUAUUUUAACAAAAAAUGUUGUCUAAUAGAAGAGCCUUCAUUCCUAAAACACCUUAACGCUGACUUAGUCCAAAUGCCAAGCACAGUUGGAACUAGAAACACUCAUCCUGUACUUUACUAUGACUUUGCAGGAGCUAUAAUUUGUCCUCAAAAAAUGGUGGUGAAAAACACAAAGCUUAUUCAUUAGGAAGUGUGAUAAAGCACUCCAGCCUUCAUUUAUAUUCUCCUUAAGUUUCCAGCAGGUGCCCCAAAAGCACCAGCAGUUGGUUGCUUUUGUUUUUUAAAUAUCUAGAAAUAUGUCUUUAUUUCCUGAUUUCUCUGCGGCUGGGGCCUUCCCUGCUCAACAAGAGUUUGCUUUCAAUCCCUGAUCCUCAAGAUGAAUGACACAAAGGGUUCAGGUCAGCAUCCUAGGCUGUGCCCCCCAGCUGGAAAAGUUCCCAGGUUGACGUUUGUGUGAGGAGCUGCAGAGCAGCGCUGCUCUGCCCAGCGCUCAGUUAGGGGCUGUGCGCCAUGCUGACAGCUGCUGCUGCAGCAGGGCUGCUGCAAAGGGAACUCUUGUUUACAAGCGUGGGGGUGUCUAUAAAUCAUUUACUUAGAAAAAUGAAAAUAUGUUAAUAACACACACUUAUUUAAAGAGCUGCUCUUAAAAAGAGAGACCUUAUGAAGCACCCUACCUCUGAGGAUCAGAGUGUUACAGUUACUCUGUCGUUGUUAUUUUUUUUUUGGCUAAAGUAUACUGUUUCCCUGCUACAAAUGUCCGCAUUCUCAGUCUGGCAUUCUUUUACAGCCAGCAGAACGUUGGGCAUCAUUUUGAUUGUUGCUGAAGGCAGGUUUUCAGACAGUUAUCUGCAGUAAUUUCAGCCUUAAUUUUAGGACCACUAUAACGUGUGUUGUAGCCUGUUCCACUCUUAAAGCAUCCAUACCCUUUCUUCCGAUCUGGAACAGAAACUACCUUCAAAGAAAGCAGAGCUUGAAGAAGUUGCUGACCUUCUGAUGCAUCAUUCUAAUCAGCCAGUGUUUCUAAAUUCUCCAGAUUCAUCUCCUUAUCCAGAUCAGCAGCAGUUCAGUUGAAAAGCAAAAUCAUGGGCAGCUGCACAGAACUAAUUAGAAAUGUGAUUCAAUUGGCAAGGAUAAAUGCAGAAGUAAAAAGGUCUGGAAGUGGACUCAGGAAGCAAAUAACCAAGUGCUACACAAACCAAGUGUCUUCAGAUUUUCAUGGGGAAAAAAGUACAGGCCUUGCAGUUGUACUCACACUCU